UGGGGAUGCAGAAGGGAACAUGCUGGCUGGUCCCUGGGGGUUUCUGAGUGUGAGCCUGACCUCAUCCGAUUCAGUCUCUGAAAGAUGAUUCUGGCUGUCGGGUGGGCGGUGGUUGACCUGUAGGGGUCGGAAGGAACGCUUGCGAAACCCUAGGUUUGCUGCUCAGUGGCCCAGACAAAUGAUGGCAGUGGCUGGAGCCUGGGCGGGGAAGGGGUGGUUCAAGAUGCUUGGGUUUCCGCAGCUCUGGAGUGGGGCUUACAGGUACUUAGGCUUGCCCUGAAGUGGACACGCAGCUUGGGGGUUUUGGCCCAAGGAAACCGGAGGUACCACCAUGGAUGAUUAAGCUGAGUUGGCCAGCAGGAGGGUUGGGGUGGGAAGUGAAAUCAAAAGUUCUAUUUGUAUAAAUUAACUUAGAUCUUUCUAUUAGAGCCCAGUGGGAGAUUAGCCAUCUGUGUGUAGAGCGCAGGAGAGAGGGCGGGUCCAGGGGCCUAAAGCUGAGCUGCCACUGCAGUGAUGGGGUUGGAAGCCACGGGGAGAGGCAGUUCCCAAGGCGCUGCGUGGAGGCCUAGGGGGCAGUGAGGUGGAGGUCCCUCCCGGUGGGAGUACCCAGCACUUAGAGGUCAGGCGGCUAAUGUCCUCUGAGCUGCGUCCCUCCCCGAUCAGGAUUUGCGGGCCUUCAAAGCUCCACGAAGAGGCCUUCCUCAGAGGGAGGAAUUUCUUACUCGUCUCCGAAGCCUAUGGUCAUGUGGUCCUUUGGCCACACGGUGGCGCUUCAAACCCAACAAUUACACUGCUUCCCUUUCUGGCUCAGAGAAGGCUUGAAAUUCAAAGGAAAAGGGGGAGGAGAUGCGUCCUCUCUCUGAGCGGCGCUCAUAACAUUGCCAGCGAGCAAGGGGUCUCGGGGAGCAGCGGGGGUCUCCCACCGAAGGGGAAGGCUCUGGUUUGAACUCAAAAGACCCAGCGUUCCACAUUCAGAGCCCAUUUUCCAGUUCUUUUCCCCCCACAACGUUGCCCCAAUUCCACAUACUAAGUAAAACGUCAUGUACCAGCGAGCGUGAUGCGUGAGAGAAAGCGGGCCUGAAUGAGGCGGCGUCUUGACUUUGCUGGAAAAAGAAAUUAAAACUAACAUCACCUGACUCCAAGAUGGGCCUAAGCUUCUUCCAGAAAAGAGAGCGGGGUUAUUGCUCAUUGUUUUCAUUUUUCCUUGGAGGCUGAGUUUCAAUACCAGCUCUACUAGCGACUAUUUGGGGAGCCUGAACUUCUCUGUGCCUCGGUGGUGUCAUCUUCCCAAUCCCACGUUUGAGGAUUGCGGUGAGGAUGCCUUCGUGUUCAGUGGAACCAAAUGAAAUGACCGCUCUCCAGCCAUCUCUGACCCGCAAGAGCCGUCCUUUCGUGUGGUCCGUCCGACAGUGCCUGGUGCCAGGCUUGGUGGCAGUGAGCUGUUAUUGUCACAGCUAGCAUGACAGAGUACAGCCAGCCCGGACCGAUCAUUUGGAAGAUCAACGGAUUUGUUUUCUGGACAUUUUUUCCUGAGGAUUCUUACUAGUGCGUGAUCCUGUUGUUUCCCUGGACUAAAGUCCAAAUCAUGAAAACAGGCUUGAAUGAGACCUACAUGCACACAGCGCUGCCUCGAGCCAAGCCAUUUUGAUCUAAGCCGCCUCCUUUCAGUGAGGUAUUUUCCCAGCAAGGGUGAAGGGCCAGCCGUCAGGGCACCACCCCUUCACCGAGUAAAGCUGAACCUCAUCGCCUCUGGCGCUCAGGGCCUCCGCCUCCAUCUCCCGCGAGCUUGCCUCUCCGAAAGGUGCUUGGCCCCUGGGACUGUAUUGACACAUCUCUCAGAUGCACGCCCAUCAGUUUCUCUCUUCUGUGGCUCUUUGCCUCUUUGAAAGCCCAGUGCAUACUAGCUGAUUCCCUUAGCCCGGGAAAUACAUGCUGUUUUCAUUUUGGCAGAGUUUUCAAAGCUGGAGCCAAAAGUGAUGAGAAUUUCAGGUACUGGGCAGGCCCCUGGUGGGGGACAUUUUUUAUUCAAAGGGUCUCUGGGAGGCUAGGGGUUUGGCCACAUCCCUCUUGGUGGCCCUGGUAGGGAGCCGAGGUAGCCUGGGGCUCCCACCCAGAGUAUGGCCACUAUGGUCCCAGGAGUUCAAAAGCAAGCAAAUAAAACUAGUAGCAGUUGGGUUUUAUCAGAGAAAGUUUUCUUUCCAGAUACUGGAUCCUGGCACAUACCCCCCCAUUUCUUUCCUCAAUCUAUAGAGACGGACCCCAGGAACCUUCCUCUGAGACUCCUGCCCCCCUCGUCACAUGAGGUUCUCACUGCACAUCGGACACAGACCACAAGAGACGAAAGGCUGCCUUGUGGGAUCUCAGGAUGUAUCCUUGACGGCGCCUCGAAUGAGGCUGCGUCGUCACAGGCCCACGUCUAACGUGGGGGUGAGCCCCGAACUCUUCAUGCACCAAACAGGAGUCAAACGCUCCGAAGCCAGACACGGAAGAGAAACAUCCUCUCCAAUUCAACUCAUAUGAAGUUCAAGAGCGAGCAAAACUAAUCUCUAGCGCACGUCAUGGGAAUAGCAUUGGUUGGGGGCGGUAGGGUGGGCAGAGAAGGGGCGCAGAGGAACCUUCUGUCGUAAUGGAGAUGUUCUCUCUUUUCCAUGGGGUUACAGAGCUGCAGACCUUUGUCGAAGGUCAUGGACCUGCCCACUGAAGAUCAAAAGAAGUAGUAGAGAGGGAGUUCCCUGGUGGUCUAAUGGUUAGGAUUCGGCACUGAAACUGCUGCAGCCCAGGUUCAAACCCUGGUUUGGGGGAACUCAUAUCCCGCAUCAAGCGGCUUCACGCUGCAAGCCCCCCUCCCCAAAAAAGAGGAGGUAGCCGUGAGAAAUGGCCCUCAGAACCCAAACCUCAGGAAGGAGGCCCCUCAUGGCACGGAAGAGAAGGAGGGAGUUUCCACAUACUGCACGUUCUCAGCAGGCUGUCUGCGCAGUGGAAAAACAUAUAAAACGUCAGCCAAUUUUCCAGACAGUUUCAAAAUCCAAGGACGUUUGUCUUGGUGCUCACGCGGCCUAUGUCUUUUCAAAUGUUUACAGAGUAUUUACAGAAAGUCGUCCUUUGGGUGGCAGUGGUAAUUAGGAAAACUGGCAGCGAAAAUUAACACAUACCAUGAAAGAGAGAUAAUUGCUCCAUUGCCAUAUACAAUAUUAUUAUCAAAUGGCAUUCACCGAGGAAUCCAAUUGGUCCCUACCAGCUCAAGCCCUUGUUCUAGGAAAGAUCCCCCCUUCCUUGUUACCCCGAGGACGAAGCUGCCACAGCUCGCGAAUGAGAUGCCAUAUGGUACUUAACAUCAGAAUCAAAAUGAGCUUGUGCUUUUUGUGCGAGAUGCCGAAAUUUAUUAGAAAAUCAGAAAGCCUCAUUUCCACCAAGUUCCUGAGACCUGCCAUCUGCUGCAUGAGAAAGAAAAUGGAGAUUUUUUUUUUUUUUUAACCAUUUACUUAUUGUGAAGUGUGAGCGUACGGGUGCGUUUGCAAAAGCAGGGGUGGGGGCCGGUUUGGGGGUGGGGGGUGCUGUAAGAGCGAGCCAGAGCAAGCCCGCUUGGCAGGGGAGAAAGGAGGCUGUCAGCUGAAUGGUGGCACAAGGCUUGGGAAGCAUAAUUAUGGAAAUCACCUAUUCCAGAGCAAUUUUUUUUUUUUUUUGCUCCUUCUCCUGAACACAUGUUCCUUCCACACAGAAACAGCAGAGAGAGAGGCCGGCUCUCAAGAAGAAGCACAAUCUCUGUGUCACAGGGAGUUUCAACAAGCCCCAGCCUCUUGAGUAUUAGGUCUGUCCGUGGAAAGGGCAGCGCAAAUAAGACGGGAGCUAACAGACGGGGAGCUCAGUGGGUGGGGAGGAAGGAGGGCUUUCUCCAGGGAGAUGCUGGGGUUGGGGUGGGGGUGGGGGGCAAGACAGAAGAGGGAUCUGAUGGGGGCAGCAAAGUAGUGCCCAGUUCACCGUGUCUGGAGAUUUUCUCUAAGUGCUGGAGGCUGGGGAUGCAAAGACAAAGGCGCUUUGUACUUUCAGAAGGGCUGUCAGCUGUUGGGGAAUUCGCGGCGGGGGACCGCCUCUGCCUCCGAGAGAUGCUGCCUUGCCCAUGAGUCACACCCCUGUGGCGGCCCAGUACCUCCGCAGAGCACUGCAGCCCGGAGGGCUUACCUAACCCCUUGAUUUGGAGACAGUGGUUUUACAUUAGAGCUGGUAUGUCUGUUGGCACAACUGCAGGCAACAUUCACUAGACGUGGCUAGUGGCUGGCCUCUGAUCCCAGCCCUCGGGAGCUGGGCCUCUAGCAAAGAGGCUUCCAGAGCCUGAAAUGGAGCCGAGAUGGGGGAGGGGGAGGAUAAGGCUUCAAGGCACCAGGGAAUUUCGCUUUAUAACGUUCUGUAGUCAGGCUCAGGUCCAGACAGGCCUUUCCUGGACUGCCUCCAAUAGGGUUAAUUGAAGAAUUAAAAAGAUCUCUCAUCUACGAGGCCAUCCUCCAGCAGGAUCCCAGGGGUGUCCUCGAGGUCAAGUUCAGGUUCUGGGAGUGCUCCAGGGCCUUGACGGGUCUUCGGGGAGCCCAGCCCACACCCUCGGGGCUCGUCGUCUCGGUGCCCUCACGCAGGUCGGUGACCAACAGUCUCUCCCUCGAAAGGAGGAACGACUUGGCCGAAGCCUUCAUGGCUCAGGCGUCCUGGCCUCGCACCUGAGCCGAUCCAGGGCUGGCAGCUUCCUCCAGAGCCUGUGCCCACCUCAGUGAGGACGAGCUGCGUGGGGGAGGAGCCCAGGGAGUUUCCGCAUCUGCCGUGCGAGGCAGGAGGAGGAAGGGCCCGCAAGCCCCAGGGACCGACGUGAUGAGGCUGUGCUCGCCCUCCAAGCCUCCUCCCACCGAAGGUAGCGAGGGCCGCCUCCCAGAUGCUCAGAGGUCUUCUGGCUCCAGGUCUGCGGGCUCCGUGCGGGUGGCCCCUCCGGGAGACCUUCAGGGUCAGCCUUGGGGAUGCGCCUGGUAGCAGGUCCCGAGCCCUCGGCCAGGGUGGGAAGGGCAGCCUUCCUGUUCACUCCCUUGGUGAAUGAGGAUCGGCUCUGAUUUCCCCGGGGGCCGCCCCAUCUCUACAGGACAGGCUUCGGCAGAUACCUGGGCUUCUCCUGAACCGCUGGGAGCAGACCGGACUGAAGAUACCUCGGUGGCAACAUGUAUGGAUUCAUCAACACCUGUCUGCAAUCUCUGGUGAUAGAGAAAUUUGGUGAAGAGACCUGGGAAAAACUAAAAGCUCGUGUGGACGUGCAAGAUGCCUUCAUGACCUAUACGGUCUAUGAUGAUGUCAUCACCAUUAAGCUCAUCCAAGAGGCCUGCAGUGUUCUUGGUAAGUAGCAGAAUGGGGCUUUUUUGGUUUCCUGGGGCUGCUUUGACAUCGUACAAUCAAUUCCCGUUCUUUGCCAUAGUUUUGCUUUAUAAAGUCUCUGCAAACACCCAAUUAGCAAAUACUGAGCCAUUGUUUCUAGAGGAAAGGCAGGGUUAAUUUCCUGAGAGCCUCUGGCCAUAUUUUCAUUUUCAUAACUUAUAAAUACAUCAUCUUGUUUUUGUGUGUUUAAAUCUGUUUAAAGACACCUUAUUUCCUAUGUACUGCUGAUUCAUUCCCAUUGAACUCCUGGCUAAUGGCACUAUAACUCGUGCCUGAAGAAAUCUUAUCUAAGGCAAGUAUUUUCUCCCUAAGGCACAUCACAGCCUUCUUGGGCUCAAGAACACUGGACAGCAGUUCCCACCAUGCUUGGGACAUUUUAAAUGGCAGAACCACCAAUAAAAUGUACACAACCUGCAAGAAAAAAAAAGCAAAAACACAAAACCAUAGCACUCAAUAGUUGGUUGAGAGGACACUUGUUUGUAGUCUGAGACCUGAAACCAGAAGGGAGCAGUGUCUGGUUCAGCCUUUGCUAGAAACAUGCGUGUUUGGUGACUCAGUUUUUCUCUGCUGUGUGUAUCCAUGAGUGACCACAAAAGCUCUGUUGAUUUGGGGCUUCCAAAUGCACUGGAGGGAGCAGGUAAACCUGCAAACACCGAAGCUACAAAUAGUGAGGAUCAACUCUACCACAAGCUGGGUAAUUAAAAUAACAGACAUUUGUUCUGUCGUAGUUCAGGGACUGGAAGUUUACAGUCAAGGUGCUGGUCGGGCCGUGUUCCAUCUGAACGCUCCAGGGAAGAAUCCUUCCUCUCCCGGGUUCUGGUGACCCCUAGUGCUCCUUGGGACAUCGUAUCUCCAAUCUCUGCUUCCAUUUCAUGUGGCGCCUCCCCCAGCUUGUCUCUUCUCUACGUCCAAAGCCCCCUCUUCCCACAAGGAGUGCAGUCGUACUGGGUUUCUGGUCUACCCUCAUCUGGCAAUCCAUCCUUCCCAUUGGGUAACUUUAGGCUUCUCCUAGACAAACAUUGUGAGCAACACUGAGGUUCCUCCUCAGCAUCACCUUGGUCAUAUUUGGCCUUGCCCUUGACUCUGACGGAUGUUGUAAUAUCUUGGAAAUGGCUUGUCACAGUGAUUUCUGGGUGUCAUGAGCAACAGCAUGGAGAGUCCCAUUGAGUUUACCUGCAAAUGGACAUGGUGUGCUUUAUGGGUGCCAAGGGUCCUUCUCCCCAUCUGCUCUGCCAUGGGACAUCUUCCCAUCUGCUUAGACAUUAAAAUACCACUGGUGGGGUCCCAAUCCGGGGACUGUGUGUAGAUGGUCUCCCUCAUAAGACACAUGCACUCGCAAAAUGGAUUUACCAGCAAGGGAUGGUUUAUUAUAUUAACUUGUUCACUCCCCAGGCUCUAAUGUGCAAAGGCACAGGACAAAGAGAACUUGCUUUCUCGCUUUCUAGCGUAAUGACCCAGGACAACCUAUUUAAUUGUAAGUUUCUUAUCAUUCAAAUGAGAAUAGUAAGAUCCACCCUUCAGAGUUUUGAAAAUUAAAGGAGGUGAUGGAUGUGAGUGCCCCCAAUGUGACAUCAUAUAAUAAGCUCCAACAAACAAAAAACAAAAACAAAACCUCCUUUCCUUCCCUCUGUGUUAAUUUCCUGAGGCUGCUCUAACAAAGUACUGCCAUAGGGUAGCUUCUGACAGCAGAAGUUGAUCCUCUUGGGUGUAGAGACUGAAAGUCCAAAUUCAAAGUGUCAGCAGGGCGAGUUCCUCCUGGAAACCCCAAGGGAGGAGUGGUGCCAAGCCUGUCUCCUGGCUUCUGUUGGUCAGAGCUGCCCUUGGCUCAUAGCUGGUGGCUCCAGCUUCUGCCUCCAUCCUGCCAGGGCCUCCUUCCCUGUGUCUUCACGCGGCUUUCUUACACAGUCACCUCGCUGGAUGAGGGGCCCACCCUAACCCAGCACGACCUCACCUCCAUGUAACUAGUGAUGUCUACAAAGACCCCAUUUCCAAAGAAGGUGACAUUUGGAGGUUUCAGGAGGACAUAGAUUUGGGGAGGGGGGCACUAUUCAACCCAGUCCAUCCUCCUUCCAUGUCACCAGCACUGGGUGCACAGUGAGGUGGGACUGGAGGGCAAGGAAGGAAGUGGCCUUCCCGUCCCAGGUUCUAGGGCUUGGCCUGUAGGAAGCACUCCCGGGCCCUCUGAUAACACCCCCCUUUCAGUCCCUCGCCCGCUCCUCACAGCCACGUGGCUUUGGGUCAUGCUGGGGUGGCACUGAGGGAAGAUCACAGGGGAACACUGCGUCAGCAUCCUGGCCAGGCACCCGAGACCUGGGAGCAGGCCUUUUGGAAAUGUGGGUGGAGCCCGGAAGCUUAAGACCUCAAGGCCAGUUCUCGUGCUGCCCCCAGGGGCUCAGGAGGCAGGGGUGUGGUUGCCAGCUCAUUUCAUGGCACCUCUGAGGACCCAGCAAGCCGGCUGUUCUCCAGGGAACCCUUCCUGAGGCAGUCGCAGAUUAAGGCCACAGUCUGGCCAGCCCAGUGGGGGUACAUGAGAACACACCAGGACAGCGAGCUGCCCUUAAGCCCACAGGGACAGGUGGCUUCACCGGAAGGCGGCAGUCACGUGUAGUGCACCUUCUCCAGUGAGGUGUCGUGUUUAUCUCCCUUCCCUUUGAAUCUCAGAAAAAUUCACUGAUUAAAAAUGAAACAAACAUGCCAGCCUUAGCCUCACACACCUGGGCCCGCUGGCAAAGAGGGCUCCCCCCUGGCUUUUCCCAUGGCAAUUGCACUACAUCUGCAUCCCUUCUCAUGUCCCUGGUCAACUCCCAGAUGUGGAAAACCUUCCGAGCACCUGCAUCCAAGAGAAGCAGGAGACUCCACAGAGCUGGGAGGGGUGUGGCGGAGGCUGAGGGAGGGAGCAGAUAGUGUGUGAUGAGCCGAUCCCUUCCGGGCUGGGUGGCCACCUGCUGCCCUUGGCUCAGGUUUGUCCGAGCCAAGCAGGGGUCAGAGGUGCCAGUGGAGGAACCUGGAGUGAAGAGGAACCCAGGGUGCCAACUGGUCAUUAACCUCCAACCAGACGUGUGUCAGCGCCCAGUCACUUGUCACGUGCACUUCCUAACAGAACUUGCUCAGGUGCUUUCUGAGCCUGGAAAUAAGAAGCAGGGAGUGCAAUGUUCCUUUGACCCUUCAGCUCCUUGAGUUUGGGCUCCAAGCGCAGCAACACCUCCGGACACCAUCCACAGCCAGUGCCCAGCCUCCCCUGGCAGUGACCCUUUGAGAGAGGAGGCAGGUGGUUGGCGGGCAGGGCUCCGGAGGCCUCCCGGCACCACAGGUAGGCACCCCCACACCCCUUCCCAAAGGGGCUCAGAGAGCUUCCAGGGAAAAGGUGGGCUGGGGCCUGGGCGGCAUCCACACCACAGGCAAAUCCCACUCCCACCUGGCCUUCCUGAUGGGGCGGGGGGCUCCCAGACCUCUUUGUCACCCCGCAGCUGAUGCCAGGGGACUUGAGCUGUCAAAAGGCAGGUGGAGUGAGGAUUUUCUGCAGGAGGCUGACUCCAGGGUGUCUGUUCUUUACAGCACUGGGCUGCCCCUGGGCUGGGAGCCCGGACCCCGCUUCUCCUCCUAACAGCAUCUUUCUGCCCCAGUGCGACCGCUCUGACUCCUUGUCCAACGCACUUCCUGGGGGGAGGGAGUUCAUUUUCUUCAACAUUGCUUUUUAAUAUAUAUAUUUUUUCUUUUUAGAGCCAUUCCUGCGGCUUUUGGA